GAUGAACGCUGGCGGCGUGCUUAAUACAUGCAAGUCGAGCGAACGGACGAGAAGUUUGCUUCUCUGUUGUUAGCGGCGGACGGGUGAGUAACACGUGGAUACCCUACUUAAAUGACUGGGAUAACUGCAGGAAACCGGAUCUUAUAGCAGAUAAUAGCUUGAACCGCAUGGUUCAAAAGUGAAAGACGGUCUGGCUGUUAAGUAUACAUGGAACCGCGCUGCAUUGGCUAGUUGGUAAGGUAACGGCUUCCCAAGGCAACGAUGCAUAGCCGACCUGGGAGGGUGAUCCGCCACACAGGAACUGGAACACGGUCCAGGGUCCUACGGAAGGCAGCGAUAGCGAAGCGACGGAAAUGGGCGAAAGCUUGACGGAGCGGCGCCGCGUGAAUGCAGAGGGUCUUCGGAGCGUAAAACUCUGUUAGUAGGGAAGACCAUAUGUGUAAGUGACUGAGCACAUCUUGACGGUACCUAAUCAAAAAGCCCCGGCUAACUACGUG
rnacentral:rRNA from 1 species